rnacentral:tRNA from 1 species
GCGGGGGUUCCCUAGCCAGGUCAACGGGGACAGACUCAAGAUCUGUUAGUGUAGACUUUCGUGAGUUCAAAUCUCACCCCCCGCA